ACACUGUCGUGCUCAUCCCUACACUGUUGCUGUUGGGACUCGAUAUGUGAAUAAUAUGGCUGGGAUAGGGUGGCCUCAGAAUCAUCGUCUCUCUCAUUUUCUCUUAGACCCCCUUCCCACUCUCCCUCAUUAGGUGCAAUAUCACCGUCAUCUCCGACGAAUUGUGGAUACGUUGGCUGGUUGCUUCCUCUUUCAUGCUGCUCAUCACCUUCUUCAAGAUCUUCCUCACCGAUAGCCUCAAGGAACGCUAUCUUGUGCAA
rnacentral:lncRNA from 1 species